CCUACGGGUGGCAGCAGUGAGGCAUAUUGGUCAAUGGCCGGGAGGCUGAACCAGCGAAGUCGCGUGAGGGAAGACGGCCCUACGGGUUGUAAGCCUCUUUUGUCAGGGAGCAAGGUGCAGGUCGGGACCUGCUGUGAGAGUACCUGAAGAAAACGCAUCGGCUAACUCCGUGCCAGCAGCCGCGGUAAUACGGAGGAUGCGAGCGUUAUCCGGAUUUCUGGGGUUUAAGGGGUGCGCAGGCGGAUUUUUAAGUCAGCGGUAAACUCGUGGGGCUAAACCCCAUCCAGCCGUUGAAACUGGGGAGCUAGAGUGGGGGAGAGGUAGGCGGAAUGCGUGGUGUAGCGGUGAAAUGCAUAGAUAUCACGCAGAACCCCGAUUGCGAAGGCAGCAUACCGGUGCACAACUGACGCUCAGGCACGAAAGCGUGGGUAUCGAACAGGAUUAGAUACCCUGGUAGUC
rnacentral:rRNA from 1 species